rnacentral:rRNA from 1 species
UACGGAGGGUGCAAGCGUUGUUCGGAAUCAUUGGGCGUAAAGCGCGUGUAGGCGGCUUGGUAAGUCGGAUGUGAAAGCCCGGGGCUCAACCCCGGAACUGCAUUCGAAACUGCCUCGCUAGAGUCCCGGAGAGGAAGGCGGAAUUCCCGGUGUAGAGGUGAAAUUCGUAGAUAUCGGGAGGAACACCAGCGGCGAAGGCGGCCUUCUGGACGGUGACUGACGCUGAGACGCGAAAGCGUGGGGAGCAAACAGG